GAUGAACGCUGGCGGCGUGCCUAAUACAUGCAAGUCGAGCGAACAGACGAGAGUGCUUGCCCUCUCUGACGUUAGCGGCGGACGGGUGAGUAACACGUGGGUAACCUACCUAUAAGACUGGGAUAACUUCGGGAAACCGGAGCUAAUACCGGAUAAUAUUUAGCUUCGCAUGAAGCAAUAGUGAAAGACGGUUCUGCUGUCACUUAUAGAUGGACCCGCGGUGUAUUAGCUAGUUGGUGAGGUAACGGCUCACCAAGGCAACGAUACAUAGCCGACCUGAGAGGGGGAUCGGCCACACUGGGACUGAGACACGGCCCAGACUCCUACGGGAGGCAGCAGUAGGGAAUCUUCCGCAAGGGACGAAAGUCUGACGGAGCAAUGCCGCGUGAGUGAAGAAGGUUUUCGGAUCGUAAAACUCUGUUGUAAGGGAAGAACAAGUACGUUAGUAACUGAACGUACCUUGACGGUACCUUACCAGAAAGCCACGGCUAACUACGUG
rnacentral:rRNA from 1 species